UACGAAGGGGGCUAGCGUUGCUCGGAAUUACUGGGCGUAAAGCGCACGUAGGCGGCUUUUUAAGUCGGAGGUGAAAUCCUGGAGCUCAACUCCAGAACUGCCUUCGAUACUGAAGAGCUCGAGUCCGGGAGAGGUGAGUGGAACUGCGAGUGUAGAGGUGAAAUUCGUAGAUAUUCGCAAGAACACCAGUGGCGAAGGCGGCUCACUGGCCCGAUACUGACGCUGAGGCACGAAAGCGUGGGGAGCAAACAGG
rnacentral:rRNA from 1 species